ACAACUCGAUUUUUCGUCUUUCGUUCUACUGUUCUUCGCUCCUCAUUAGUUAUUAGGUUAGGAAUUUAGGAUCGACUGUGACGAGUUGUUUUUCAUGUAAACACCGCCGCGCAUGGCGUAUCUCACGAUGAACCCAUUUUGCGUUUCUCGACGAUAGCACCGUGAACCGCCGACCGUUGUCGAGUAUCCAUGCUUAUUUUUCCAACAAUAUUGAUUANUCCCGUGUUCAUUAUUUGACAUAGGUCAUAGGUACGUUUCAAUGCGAAAAUAAUAAAUUGGUUAUCAACGCAUCUACUUCAUUAUCCGAAAAGAGUGUUCUCCUUUUUUUACUCCCGUCUCGACGAACGUUAUUUGCGCAAACACCAUGAGAGUUUCGGUGUGCCUAAUUACAAUAAGCAAAUACGAUAAAAACAGAAUAAAGUAGCAUGAAUGACGUGAUGAGGAAGAAACCCAAUGGUAACACCUCCUUGAUAUGCGGCAUUAGCCAAGCUAUUUUAUUGUUAAUCGAUCAUAACAAUGUGGUGAGACAUUGCAGUCUAUACAUUUCUCUCGUUUAUAUCCGUUGAUCAACUUCUCUAUCCAAUGCCUUAAUCCACUACUGCAGCAUUCAUCAUCUUGAGCGAUAAUUCAGAACACUGUUUCAAAUCAUACAUGCACAGUUGUAACUGAAUAAUGGACAAUCACUGACAGCUCUGGUCUUAGCGAUACUAAGUAUGAUGAUGAUUCAAAUAGUGAUAACCAAUUGAUUGAUUUUGAUCACGAAUACAUCAUCUUUUCAAUAUCACUCAAUUCAUUUUCAAAUGAUGAUUAUGUUAAGAUCAAAAGAGAAUUAGAUAUUUGUCAUUUCCUACCCAAUGAAGAUUUUAAAGUAUCAUUUGACAAAACUAAAUGUCUAAUGCUCAUUCGGAUAUUUAAAAAAUGUUGUUGACA
rnacentral:lncRNA from 1 species